rnacentral:tRNA from 1 species
GGACAGGUGGGUGAGUGGCUUAAACCAACGGUUUGCUAAACCGUCGUAGGCCUUCAAAGCCUACCGGGGGUUCGAAUCCCCCCCUGUCCGCCA